GCCCUCCGGAGGCGCAGGCCCUCUCCGCACCACCGAGUCGGCGAGCCCAGCGGUCCCGAGGAGCUCCACGCGAAAUACUUCGGCGCCCAACCUGGGAGGCAGGUGUGCAAGCUCGGCAUAGAUACCCGCAGGGAGUUGUGCAAACUACAGAAGAGGAGAACAUGAGAGGAGAGGAGCCUGGCAGAAUGCGGGAAACCAGAUCCUCUUUGUAGUCUUUGGGACAAAACUUCAAUAUCAAUUUCUACAGCUACAAAAUAGAAAUAAUAUCAACUUUUUAUUUUCAUAAAAUUAAAGUGAGGUGAUACAUGAAGUGGCUGUGAAAGAGAAGAUUGGAUAAGAGAAAGCUGGCUGUGCACGUGGGCGUGACCUGCUAAUCAUGAAAAACCAGAACACAGAAAACAGUUUCCAAGCCCCAUACCUGGGGCCAAUCGAAAAGUUUUCUUCACCUCUUCUGGUGUGAAAUCAAGCAGGUUUAUGGUAAGAUGGCCUAGACUUCACAACAGGCUGAAGACCAAGAGACACAGAAGGACCCUGCCACUGCACUUCUCUUGGUAGCCUGCUCUCACUCUGCAGAGUGUAGUUCUUUUCCCACCUUUCACAAAUGUAAAAUCUCGCUACACUUUUUGCAUGUCUUGCUAGUUCUUUGUUCAGGACACCAAGAACCUGAAAAGAAUCUCUGCAGUACCCCCAAAUCUGGUAACAGCUGGCAGAUAAUAUGGCUAUUAAUAGCUUCAAAAGGUUUGGAAGAAGUUGGCUUGAAAACUAAAACACUAAGGAGAAAAUUCUGGAAAGAACUUUAGACUUUUAGAGUAAAAAUUUAUAAAUAAAUACAUAUUUGUGUAGGAUGAAAUAACCUUAUGACAACGAAAAAUGUCUAGCAUUGACUAUAAACUAUUUCAAAUACAGAAAAGAAUGACAAACUUUAAAAAGAAACUAUGUGAGGACUCAUUUCAAGGUCAUGCUCAGAUGUUUGCUAUUGAUAUUUUUCAUGCUCAUUUAUCCUUUCAUUUCCUUUGGAAGAAGAAAUACAUUUAUUUCCUGAAUUUUUAGUUUCCAUUUCUUUCCCCAGCCUUUCAUUUUCGUCUUGUUUUUAUAAUAACUGGUUCUUGCCCUAUUUAACCUAUCCCCAAACUCUCAAACAUCACUACUCAUAGCAGCAUAUCAUAAUCUUAGCAAAUUUUCCUUUUAAGUUUUGUUUUUUUCAACAGUUAAAACUCUGGAUCCAAUUUACCUACUUCCCUAGAGUUAGUAUUUGGGGACUCAAUGCUAAAUUCUAAUUUAGCAUGCUACAUAAAUAUUUGAUUGGAUUAGAAAGGAAUCUGAAAGGAGAAUUAGGAACAAAUCCAGUCAAUCCUAUGACUUUUAGUUGCAUAUUCAUAAAUUGAUGGGGAAACACAUUUUAAUGAAAAUGUAAACCACACGAUAAGAAUUUGGAAUGCUCUGGUAAAAUUUUCCCAUUGAUUUCUAUUCAUAAAGUGAAAUAUCAAUAGUAGAAACAAAAAUAAAAAUAUAUUUGACAUUCUAGCUACUCAUUCCCCGAAUAAAUAUACUGGUGCAUACAUGCAUAACAUAUAAACUAGUGGAGACUUAAUGUCUGUAUGCCCACAACCUCAAAUUCUAGAUUCUUUAUUCCCAAUAUUCCCUGCUUUAUUCCUCAUGCAUUUUUCUGCCUUUUCUCAUUCGCUGUCCUUUUUUCCAUAUCAAAACUCCCUAGGCCUUAAUUCCCUUUGAGGCCCAACAAGUCAUGGUCACUUCAGAGAUUCCUUAUUAAGUCAUAAGAAUUAAUUCUAUCUUCCUUUGUGCCAUUUCCGUGAAACAUGACUUAUUCCUCAACUUGGGGACUUUUCUUUCUGCUUCUCGGUAUGCCUGUGUUUUAUUUUUUAAUGUUUCCCCAAUCUACUAGUCUGUCUGAAAGUAAAGGUGACAUUUUAUGCACAUCUGGAAUCUUCUGAUAACCCAUAUGAAUCCUAGAAGAUAGAAAGGUAGUAAUUUUUGCCAAAUAGAGAAAAGAGAAGAUAGAAUGAUUCUCACCAACAGAAAGUACUAGAGGCUCUCUUACUCAGGACCCACAGAACUAUACAUUUUAUGGCUUCUUUACAGUGAUACUAGAGCCAUAUGACUAAUUCUAACAGUACAAGCAGAAGUAUCCUCUAAUACCUGGGUAACAGGAGUUAAGACCCCAGAUGCCUCCUUCCUGCCUCCCCUCUCCCUGCCAUAGUGCCAUGCUUCUCAGGAAGGAGCUAUAAAAAGAAGUUACUGAAAGCAAAUGACUACUUUCCUUGCACUCAUCUUGGUGUGAUCAGGUAAACCUGUGAGAUUUCAGACUUUCUUUAUCCUGAGGACACAAACUGUACUGUUCUGAUCAGUAUGUGAUAUGAUUGAAAAUAUUUUAAAUUAUAGUGCACAAACACCCAAUGAAACGAACUUAUGACAGUGCUUUAGUGUGCUUAUAAGUCAAAGCUAGAAAUACAUUCUCAUGAUCCCCUAAUUUUUAUAAUAGCAUUUUUCACAGCACCCCUUUGGGAAGCCAAUGUGAGUUUGUGCGUGCAUAAACUAUGUACAAUAGAUUGACUUCAACUAAGGACAAAGGAGUGCAUGUCCCAAUAGUCCCCUCAACUGGAUUGAAAACAAGUGUGCACCUGCCGUCCGGAGGCAGCACACUGUGAUUAAGAUUGUAGCUGACUAGCAGCUGUGAGUAUGAUUGCUGUGACCUGGUUUCAUAGAAUGUACAAAGAACGAAAGACAUGUCUGCACUGCUUCUAGUGUUUAUUUAGAGUAUAGGCAUACAGGUUACUUUAGAAACGCUCUUCUGUGAAAGGCUUCCAUAGAAGUCUGGGGAAUGUACAUCUAGCCCAAUUUUAGGAAGCAUAAAAAAGGAGGUCAAUUGUACCGGACACUGCUAGAUGCUAUGCUUUUCAGUAACUAUAAUAGCACAAAGGAAUCUUGUCAAAACACAUGAUUUUGGGUGCACCAAGAAUCCAUGCACUAUAUUAAAAUUUAUCUGUUGGUAUUUUUGUGAUGUUAUAUUUUAUUUAUUUA